AGUUAAAAAUAUGCAGUAUUUCUUUUUUCUUUUUGUCGUUCGAGACAGGAAUGCAGAGGUACAAUUUCGGACUCGAUUAAUAUUUAACGCCAUCGUUCUAUUGUACACUCACUGGCCGUGUCGUUUAUUUUUAUUGCGAAGUCUCUUUGUAGCUGUGUUGUUAUUGCGUGUGUACCUCGCGUUCGGAAUAGCAUAUCACCUUGAACACCGCUAUAUACGGUUUUCGCGUGCAUUCCAUCAGUGGUACAAAUUCUGGCGUACAAAAAGAGAGAAAAAAAAAGAUGCUGUUCUAACUAGUCAGUCUAGGAUAAGGGAAUGUAUUUUUUUACACGAUGGAUUUAUAAUAAAGACAUUGAUAAACGAAAGAGUAUGGAGUUCAGACAGAUGGCAUGGAACAAAAAAAAAAGAAAUAAAGAGGAACAACUUCGUCGAUGAAUAAUUCGCGAAGCUUUCGACGAGUUGGUUUUAAAUCGCAUGUACGAAUUGUUUGGAAUACUUGGCACACCACAGGAGAAUUGGUAUACACUAAAUUCCUUUCGCUGGGUAAGUUGCAUAUAUUUUUCUUCAUAUCUAUGCUGAUUCAUCCAUCUCCUCGGUUCGAUUUUAUAUCGAAACAGUUAAAAACCUCUGGGUGCGAGUCUGGUUAUUCGUUAACUUCGCACCGCCUAUUCAAAGUAGAGUUUAUGAAAUUUUUUUUUUUUUU